rnacentral:lncRNA from 1 species
UUUUUUUUUUAUUUUUUAGAAAACGCUCAUUCUUUAAAAAGAUGUUAUGCUUUGGGCAGUUGUGUGGUCACCAUUCCUGUCAACUGCAUCCAUGAGGGGUGCCAGAGAGCACAGAGAGCACAGAAAGGCCAGGCACAUAACCAUUUCUAGAACACACGGUUGAAGCUCAGGUGCAAGGCCAGCGACUCCAUCUUCCUUAACUGGGGGUCCCACCACCACAUUUCAGCCUUGACCUUGGCCUUCCUCCUACUCAUGGGAAGUCUGCUAUUGUCCCAGCUCCAUGGUGAGUUAUGACAACGUUCAGUGGAAGAAGAGGGCAUCUCAUUAAAGUUGUUCAUGCCCAGGUUAUGACUCCCUAGGGGACUAACGGGGCAAAGCUUAAUCCCACUGCGCGCCCCUCAUUAGAUACCCAAAUUCCAGACUGUGCUUAGGAGGAGGCGCCUCCGUAGACCUAUUCUCAUCAAAAGACUGCAGAACCAUUUUUAAGACCCGUGGGUGGAAUUAACUUGACGCUAGAGCAUUUCUAGCCUUGGGAUUCCUGGGGAUUGGAAGAGCCAAAGGCAGAACAAGGAAGCAUCACAAUGAGAUGGAAGCUCCCAUUGUUUUCCUCUGAAAAAGACGCUUCUCAUCACCUUCUCCCAGUGCUCUUGCCCACACACCCACAUCACCCUGGUACUAAGGCGCUUCCAGUUCACAAGCGUUUCCCCUGUGGAUCCCGCAGGGGUGGGCGGGUGUCCCCUCUCCACCAAAGUCCGCUGCAGCCCUCCUGAUGCCUCAGCAGCUGGUACUUCUUCCUCUGGGCCUCUUCCCCCAGGGGAAGAGGAUUGGCCGUCUCACUGAGUUCACUGGAGGCAAACUUGACAUUCAGGCUAAUAUUUCUCUGACUGCAUGUCUUGUUUACGCAAUGCCACCGCGGAGGGGCCAGCCCCUGGCAUUUCCAUCCUGCGGUAUUUAUGGGCUGUCAUCACAGGAAGUCGGCACUUCCAGGCUCUCCCUCCAUCCCCACACAGGCAGGCCGGAAAUCCGUCGCUCUGGAGCCCAGCACGGGAGGCGGCUUGAACCAACUCAGAGUCUAGUUCACUCGGAAGUCGUCCAAGUAAAAGGUCAGCGUUUGAGCGCUUCACACCUCUAAGCCCAGACACCCUCCCUCCUGUGUUGUCCUAGAGCCUCGCCCAGCCUGCUGCCCGGGCAGCUGCUACGGGCUGCUCACCUGCGCUGCAUCAGGCCAUUUCCAAGCUGCUGGAACAGGUAGCUCAGGCUCUGGCUGCUGAGAACAGGCCUGGCGGGGAGCUACCCACCAGCUCCUCUCUUGCGGACCUCACUUCACCUGGGAUGGUUUUUGACCUUUCAAGGUUAGUGACUCCUGAGCAGUUAUAGACAGCUCUGUUAUUGUGGGUUCAGGCCUGAGGAUGGUUUAUCAUCUUGUAAUUCUGAGAAGAAAAGGGACAGGAGAAAGGUAGCUUUGAAUUAACUGUUUUGCCAUAACACACUUUUCAAAAUUAUUUAAGAAACAGAUUGUCACAACUCUCACAAGUUUUAUGUUUUGCAUGUUGUUUUGUUUCAAAUUUUUUUUAAAGCUGUAACGAUGUAGAUGUUUUCUAUGCUUGAAAAUACACGUUAUGGGGUCCCUGAUGGCUUAGCAGUUUAAGGAUCCGGCCUUGUCACUGCUGUGGCAUGGUUUCGAUCCCUGGCCCUGGAACUUCGCAAGCAGGGCCAAAAUAAUACUAAUAAUUAUACUACUACUAAUAACAAUAAUAAUACAUGUUACUUAAUAACAUUUUAUAAAUAUAUCCCUAACUUUCUAUACAAUCUUUAUAACAAUUUUAAUGUCUACCUAAUUCACCGAGUUGCCAUGUAUCACAGAUGACAUAACGUGUACUUGUUGCAUUUUUAGAUUUUUGCUGAAGUGUUUAGUUAAGAAGAUGUCAGAGAAUGCAAUAAAUACUCUGCAGAGGGGGUGUGAGGGGUGACACAGAGAGGGGUUCUCGUUUCCACUGCCAUGUAAGGGCAACGGGCACCUUGGGGAUGGUUGAAGCGGCUGCCACCAAUCUGCAAGCUCACCCAACUCCCAGGACCCUGUCCUUCCCAGCACAAUGCAGUCGCGUGUGCACCCACACAGACGCGCACACAGACACCCACCGAACACCAGAGGGGCCUUCCCCCCUCUCUGCCCGGCUCCUGGGUCCACUCCAUGGACCACCUGCACGCCACCCCCCAGGCAUGUCUGAUCUCUGGGUCCCAGGUCCUCUCAUGGGCCCAUCCUGCCUCUGAAAGAAUCGCUCUCCCGUCGGAACUCAGAACAGACAUGCAGGGAGCUGUUGUGAAUGACGCGUUUGGCAGCUGCCAUUUUACAGCCUGUCUGAAAAGUGGCACGGGCGUCCCACUCUCAGUCAUUUGGGUCCUCCAUGGAUCACCUCCAAAGUCACACCUCUCCAGGUCUCCACGGUGCCCGUGCCUGUACUCAGGUCUAGGAUGUAAUGAUGUCUCUGGGUUUGAGACGUCAGGACUGCACGAGCCAGGAGCCUCUUGCUGUUCUCAGCCAUCAGCUCUUGAACAUUUCUAAGCGGAUGAACAGGAGGUGAAACGUACAUGGUGUUCUCAUCCGUCUGCAAACCGAACGAAUGUGAUACAAUUAAUGAUUGUUCUGCUGUAUAGUAUUCAGCCAUGAAGAGUAAGCAGUAAAGUCUAGUUACAGUGAUAUACUGCUGAUGACUCAGAUAUAUAUUUGUAAAUGAGACCUGACCUCUGAUUCAUAAAACAAAAAA